GAGGAAGAAAGGCUUCUGCAGGGAGCCCCCAGAGACAGGCUGGUCUGCAGCCAGAAACCUGAGGCUCCGGCCAGACUGGACCAGCAGGCCAAUGUUCUGUUUGAAGUGCUAGAAGCUAAUACAACAUCUGCAGAUUCUGGCAGAAUAUUCAAAUGGGAGAUGCAACCACAAGGUGGCUAAUGAGGCUUUUUGGCUUUUUCAUUUUCUCUUGAAUGUCCAGUCUUCCCAACCCGGACAGACAGAACCCGGCACUGUUCCAUGAACAGACAGACACCUCUGUAGCUCAGUCCUGCUGUUAAUCAGUAACUCCUAAAGUAGCCGCUUUCCUCAGGAAGUUGUGCAAUGAAAUGCCAAAGCUGCUCCUAGAAUACCAGCAUAUAGACCUCAUCAAAUUCCUAUCACAGACACAGUUCCUUCUCCUCCAGCUGAAUUUCUAAAUCCAUCCUCAAACCAAACCGCUCCACAGCAAGUGAACACCUGAUCUGUUGUUCAGAUUCAACAAUGAUACCUGCUCUGACAACUUGCUAACAAGCUCCUAUGACAACAGUCAACAUUCUGAACAUCAUUUUGAAGGCACGCGCUACCAUUUACUGGAGUCAACUGGAACACAGAGACCAAACACAACAUUUGACACAUCUUAGACUGCUUGGAAGGAUUUUGUUAUAUGCAGCAAAACACAGCAAGCUUGACAUUUGAAACUCACUUAUUUCACGGCAAGGCAAAAUCUUAUGCCUUCACACAGUGUUUUUCCUGCUGUUUCUCAGCACAAGAACGCCUGCUUACUGUAGCUUCAUAUUGUUAUGAACAGACCAGCAUGAAAAAAAUCUAUGCAGUCAGAAUAAAAUUGGCAUGGAGACUGCAGAAAUCUGGAUUGUCCAGGUGGAUCAGCCUUAGAGGACAACUCUUGUACUCACCCACACACUGGCUUUGUUACUCCCAUAUAUUCAGAAGCAAGGAAUAGAUGUACAGCAGGUCUCAUCCUGACCACCUAAAACACAGGAAACAUAAGACUUAAAAAGACUGUUUGAUGUUUAGGUUUUUUAAAUUAAUUCAUGUAUUAAAUAAUAAUCGCUGAAGUGCUGCAGCAUGCAUUAAUGUAAAACAUUUACCCUACAGGGAUGAAAGAAAUUAUACUUUAAACUUUCAUGGACUCAGAACAUUCAUACAACUCUCCAGAUACUUGAAAUCUCUAAUCCAUCACUUGAGUAAUUUUCAUCUUCCUUUCUUAGAUCCUGAUUGUGUUGAGUAGACUUAAAUUGUUUCUUUAAGGCAA